rnacentral:rRNA from 1 species
AGUGAACGCUGGCGGUAGGCCUAACACAUGCAAGUCGAACGGCAGCACAGUAAGAGCUUGCUCUUACGGGUGGCGAGUGGCGGACGGGUGAGGAAUACAUCGGAAUCUACUUUUUCGUGGGGGAUAACGUAGGGAAACUUACGCUAAUACCUCAUACGACCUACGGGUGAAAGCAGGGGAGCUUCGGACCUUGCCCGAUUGAAUGAGCCGAUGUCGGAUUAGCUAGUUGGCGGGGUAAAGGCCCACCAAGGCGACGAUCCGUAGCUGGUCUGAGAGGAUGAUCAGCCACACUGGAACUGAGACACGGUCCAGACUCCUACGGGAGGCAGCAGUAGGGAAUAUUCGACAAUGGGCGCAAGCCUGAUCCAGCCAUACCGCGUGGGUGAAGAAGGCCUUCGGGUUGUAAAGCCCUUUUGUUGGGAAAGAAAAGCAGCAGGUUAAUACCCCGCUGUUCUGACGGUAACCAAAGAAGAAGCACCGGCUAACUUCGUG